UUCAAACUGAUUCAAGAGUCUUUUUCGCUGUACAACUUAACUGGCUUCAAAUCAAGAUUUCAAAGUCAUGCACGAGUCUUUUUCGCUUUACAACUUAACUGAAAUGGUUGGCAGAUUCAUUUCUAUGUUUUUGAAA